rnacentral:rRNA from 1 species
CAGCCGCCACGGGAAUACAGAGGGUGCGAGCGUUAAUCGGAUUUACUGGGCGUAAAGCGUGCGUAGGCGGCUUCUUAAGUCGGAUGUGAAAUCCCUGAGCUUAACUUAGGAAUUGCAUUCGAUACUGGGAAGCUAGAGUAUGGGAGAGGAUGGUAGAAUUCCAGGUGUAGCGGUGAAAUGCGUAGAGAUCUGGAGGAAUACCGAUGGCGAAGGCAGCCAUCUGGCCUAACACUGACUCUGAGGUACGAAAGCAUGGGGAGCAAACAGGAUUAGAUACCCCCGUAGUCCCUGUCUCUUAUAC